rnacentral:lncRNA from 1 species
UCUGAUGAGCUCUCCUGCCAGGGAUCAAUAGCUUGUUUCUCUUGAGUCUUUCCCAGCCACAACCUGGAGUAUCACUACAUACUCCCACUGUUGUGGGAAUAAAAUGAAAGAACUAUUAUCACACCCCAGAAAAGGGUGUGGCACAUGGUGAGAGCUCAGUAUACAUGUUUGUUCUUUAUGUUUUUUUGUGAUAGGGUUUCACUCUGUUGCCCAGCCUGGAGUGCAGCGGUGUGAUCUCAGCUCACUGCAGCCUUGAGCACCCAGGCUCCAGUGAUCUUCCUGCCUCAGCCUCUCGAGCAGCUGUGACUACAGGGAUGUGCCACCAUACCCAACUAAUUUUUUUUUUUUUUUUUUUUUUUGGUAGAGAUGGAUGUCCCACUGUAUUGCCCAGGCUGGUCUUGAACUCCUGGACUCAAGUGAUUCAUCUGCUUCAGCCUCCCAAAGUUCUGGGAUUACAGGUGUGAGUCACCACACCUGGCCGAUACGUGUUCUUUACGAUAAAUCAAAGCCCCUUUUAUCCGGCCCAGGAGCCCCUCUUCUGGUGGACGUGCUUUUCUGCAGGCCACGACUUCAGCCCCUAGGAGCUGAGCAGGACCCAUGGUGAUGGUGCUUCGUGGCACAGAAGCAGCCCCAAAUUGCGGUGGAGAUAUGGGGGGCGAGUCCUCCUUCCAGCUGAUAGAGGGGAUCUCAACCCUCUUGGUCAUUCCCCCAAGACUUGCCACUCCUCAAGCGAAUGCAUUCACCACAGCCAGCCCCGGACCCCAUUCAUGCCACCUGCCCUGCCUGAACUUCACACGGUCCAGCUCUCUGCUGACACUACUUCCAGAAGGCCCUCUAGGCCCUGACCUCACCUUUCUUGAAACUCAGGAAGGCUGCAGGGUGUUAGCAGGGGUUGGGCAUCCUGCAACCUGCUGCCUGCUUGGUAAGUAAAGUUUUACUGGAACAAGCCACGGUCCUUUGUUUACAGAGACUAUGGCUGCUUUCUCGAUCAGAGGCAGAGUUGAGCAGUUGCCAUAGCGACCACAUGGCCUGCAAAGCCUAAAAGGCUUUUUUGCCAGGUUACCUGGCUCUGGACAGAAGCAGUGUGCCCAUCUGGUGCAGGGGAUGACACCCAGGUUAUGGCACCAGGGAAGCCUGGGAUUUAACCCUCCUCUGCUCACUUCCCAGCUGAGGGACCUUGGGCAAGUCCCUGAUGUCCCUCAGCCUCCUUCCUUUCACCUACAGAUGGGACCUGCGGCUCAGCUUAGGGCUUAGCAGGACUCUUCUCCUGGCCAUCAAGGAGGGGCUAUUUCCACUCAGGUUCAUGUGAAGCUGUUUUCGUCUGAAGAUCAGCUCCUUAAAAGGCAGGGGCCCUAUUUAUAUCCCCAGUUGGGUAUUGGGGGUGACUUAACAGGCGCUGACUAUAAUGGCAAGUGCAUGGGGCCCAGUGGAAGC